GGGUUGUGAGGUUAAGCGACUAAGCGUACACGGUGGAUGCCCUGGCAGUCAGAGGCGAUGAAGGACGUGCUAAUCUGCGAUAAGCGUCGGUAAGGUGAUAUGAACCGUUAUAACCGGCGAUUUCCGAAUGGGGAAACCCAGUGUGAUUCGUCACACUAUCAUUAACUGAAUCCAUAGGUUAAUGAGGCGAACCGGGGGAACUGAAACAUCUAAGUACCCCGAGGAAAAGAAAUCAACCGAGAUUCCCCCAGUAGCGGCGAGCGAACGGGGAGGAGCCCAGAGCCUGAAUCAGUGUGUGUGUUAGUGGAAGCGUCUGGAAAGGCGCGCGAUACAGGGUGACAGCCCCGUACACAAAAAUGCACAUGCUGUGAGCUCGAUGAGUAGGGCGGGACACGUGGUAUCCUGUCUGAAUAUGGGGGGACCAUCCUCCAAGGCUAAAUACUCCUGACUGACCGAUAGUGAACCAGUACCGUGAGGGAAAGGCGAAAAGAACCCCGGCGAGGGGAGUGAAAAAGAACCUGAAACCGUGUACGUACAAGCAGUGGGAGCACGCUUAGGCGUGUGACUGCGUACCUUUUGUAUAAUGGGUCAGCGACUUAUAUUCUGUAGCAAGGUUAACCGAAUAGGGGAGCCGAAGGGAAACCGAGUCUUAACUGGGCGUUAAGUUGCAGGGUAUAGACCCGAAACCCGGUGAUCUAGCCAUGGGCAGGUUGAAGGUUGGGUAACACUAACUGGAGGACCGAACCGACUAAUGUUGAAAAAUUAGCGGAUGACUUGUGGCUGGGGGUGAAAGGCCAAUCAAACCGGGAGAUAGCUGGUUCUCCCCGAAAGCUAUUUAGGUAGCGCCUCGUGAAUUCAUCUCCGGGGGUAGAGCACUGUUUCGGCAAGGGGGUCAUCCCGACUUACCAACCCGAUGCAAACUGCGAAUACCGGAGAAUGUUAUCACGGGAGACACACGGCGGGUGCUAACGUCCGUCGUGAAGAGGGAAACAACCCAGACCGCCAGCUAAGGUCCCAAAGUCAUGGUUAAGUGGGAAACGAUGUGGGAAGGCCCAGACAGCCAGGAUGUUGGCUUAGAAGCAGCCAUCAUUUAAAGAAAGCGUAAUAGCUCACUGGUCGAGUCGGCCUGCGCGGAAGAUGUAACGGGGCUAAACCAUGCACCGAAGCUGCGGCAGCGACGCUUAUGCGUUGUUGGGUAGGGGAGCGUUCUGUAAGCCUGUGAAGGUGUACUGUGAGGUAUGCUGGAGGUAUCAGAAGUGCGAAUGCUGACAUAAGUAACGAUAAAGCGGGUGAAAAGCCCGCUCGCCGGAAGACCAAGGGUUCCUGUCCAACGUUAAUCGGGGCAGGGUGAGUCGACCCCUAAGGCGAGGCCGAAAGGCGUAGUCGAUGGGAAACAGGUUAAUAUUCCUGUACUUGGUGUUACUGCGAAGGGGGGACGGAGAAGGCUAUGUUGGCCGGGCGACGGUUGUCCCGGUUUAAGCGUGUAGGCUGGUUUUCCAGGCAAAUCCGGAAAAUCAAGGCUGAGGCGUGAUGACGAGGCACUACGGUGCUGAAGCAACAAAUGCCCUGCUUCCAGGAAAAGCCUCUAAGCAUCAGGUAACAUCAAAUCGUACCCCAAACCGACACAGGUGGUCAGGUAGAGAAUACCAAGGCGCUUGAGAGAACUCGGGUGAAGGAACUAGGCAAAAUGGUGCCGUAACUUCGGGAGAAGGCACGCUGAUAUGUAGGUGAAGUCCUUUACUCAUGGAGCUGAAAUCAGUCGAAGAUACCAGCUGGCUGCAACUGUUUAUUAAAAACACAGCACUGUGCAAACACGAAAGUGGACGUAUACGGUGUGACGCCUGCCCGGUGCCGGAAGGUUAAUUGAUGGGGUCAGCGCAAGCGAAGCUCUUGAUCGAAGCCCCGGUAAACGGCGGCCGUAACUAUAACGGUCCUAAGGUAGCGAAAUUCCUUGUCGGGUAAGUUCCGACCUGCACGAAUGGCGUAAUGAUGGCCAGGCUGUCUCCACCCGAGACUCAGUGAAAUUGAACUCGCUGUGAAGAUGCAGUGUACCCGCGGCAAGACGGAAAGACCCCGUGAACCUUUACUAUAGCUUGACACUGAACAUUGAGCCUUGAUGUGUAGGAUAGGUGGGAGGCUUUGAAGUGUGGACGCCAGUCUGCAUGGAGCCGACCUUGAAAUACCACCCUUUAAUGUUUGAUGUUCUAACGUGGACCCGUAAUCCGGGUUGCGGACAGUGUCUGGUGGGUAGUUUGACUGGGGCGGUCUCCUCCUAAAGAGUAACGGAGGAGCACGAAGGUUGGCUAAUCCUGGUCGGACAUCAGGAGGUUAGUGCAAUGGCAUAAGCCAGCUUGACUGCGAGCGUGACGGCGCGAGCAGGUGCGAAAGCAGGUCAUAGUGAUCCGGUGGUUCUGAAUGGAAGGGCCAUCGCUCAACGGAUAAAAGGUACUCCGGGGAUAACAGGCUGAUACCGCCCAAGAGUUCAUAUCGACGGCGGUGUUUGGCACCUCGAUGUCGGCUCAUCACAUCCUGGGGCUGAAGUAGGUCCCAAGGGUAUGGCUGUUCGCCAUUUAAAGUGGUACGCGAGCUGGGUUUAGAACGUCGUGAGACAGUUCGGUCCCUAUCUGCCGUGGGCGCUGGAGAACUGAGGGGGGCUGCUCCUAGUACGAGAGGACCGGAGUGGACGCAUCACUGGUGUUCGGGUUGUCAUGCCAAUGGCACUGCCCGGUAGCUAAAUGCGGAAGAGAUAAGUGCUGAAAGCAUCUAAGCACGAAACUUGCCCCGAGAUGAGUUCUCCCUGAC
rnacentral:rRNA from 1 species